rnacentral:rRNA from 1 species
GACGAACGCUGGCGGCGUGCUUAACACAUGCAAGUCGAACGGAAAGGCCCUGCUUUUGUGGGGUGCUCGAGUGGCGAACGGGUGAGUAACACGUGAGUAACCUGCCCUUGACUUUGGGAUAACUUCAGGAAACUGGGGCUAAUACCGGAUAGGAGCUCCUGCUGCAUGGUGGGGGUUGGAAAGUUUCGGCGGUUGGGGAUGGACUCGCGGCUUAUCAGCUUGUUGGUGGGGUAGUGGCUUACCAAGGCUUUGACGGGUAGCCGGCCUGAGAGGGUGACCGGCCACCUUGGGUCUGAGAUACAGCCCCGACUCCUACGGGAGGCAGCAGUGGGGAAUAUUGCACAAUGGGCGGAAGCCUGAUGCAGCAACGCCGCGUGCGGGAUGACGGCCUUCGGGUUGUAAACCGCUUUCGCCUGUGACGAAGCGUGAGUGUCGGUACUGGGUACAGAAGCACCGGCUAACUACGUG